UCGGAUGUGGGGUAGUAUGGUGCACCUCAGCCCUUCAAAGCUUCAUGUGUGGGGACCGAAGAAUAGGCUGCUGGAGGCCAAGGUUCGACUCCCUGCAUCUGAC